rnacentral:rRNA from 1 species
CCUACGGGAGGCAGCAGUGGGGAAUAUUGCGCAAUGGGCGAAAGCCUGACGCAGCGACGCCGCGUGAGGGAUGAAGGUCCUCUGAGCAUAAACCUCUGUCAGCAGGGAAGAACGGUCACUGUGCUAAUCAUCAGUGAAUUGACGGUACCUGCAAAGGAAGCACCGGCUAACUCCGUGCCAGCAGCCGCGGGAAUCCGGAGGGUGCGAGCGUUAAUCGGAUUUCAUGGGGGUAAAGCGCUCGGAGGCGGUAUGUCAAGUCAAGGGUGAAAUCCCCGGGCUCAACGUGGGAACUGCCUUUGAAACUGGCGAACUGGAGUGUGUGAGAGGAUAGUGGAAUGCCAGGUGUAGGAGGGAAAUCCGUAGGUAUC